CGAGAGCAAACCGCGGCGAAGCUGGUCUCCUUCCCCGGUUUGCUCUCGCGUUCCCCGAACCCCCGUGCAAGCAGGUCUCCUUCCCUGCGGUUUGCUCUCGCGUUCCCCGAACCCCCGUGCAAGCAGGUCUCCUUCCCUGCGGUUUGCUCUCGCGUUCCCCGAACCCCCGAGCAAGCAGGUCUCCUUCCCUGCGGUUUGCUCUCGCGUUCCCCGAACCCCCGGGCAAGCAGGUCUCCUUCCCUGCGGUUUGCAGGGGGGUUCGGGGAACGCGAGAGCAAACCGCGGCGAAGCUGGUCUCCUUCCCCGGUUUGCUCUCGCGUUCCCCGAACCCCCGUGCAAGCAGGUCUCCUUCCCUGCGGUUUGCAGGGGGGUUCGGGGAACGCGAGAGCAAACCGCGGCGAAGCUGGUCUCCUUCCCCGGUUUGCUCUCACGUUCCCCGAACCCCCG